UACGGAGGGUGCAGGCGUUAUCCGGAUUUACUGGGUUUAAAGGGUGCGCAGGCGGAUAUGUAAGUCAGUGGUGAAAUCUCCGGGCUUAACCCGGAAACUGCCGUUGAUACUAUAUAUCUUGAAUGCCGUGGAGGUAAGCGGAAUAUGUCAUGUAGCGGUGAAAUGCUUAGAUAUGACAUAGAACACCUAUUGCGAAGGCAGCUUACUACACGGAGAUUGACGCUCAUGCACGAAAGCGUGGGGAUCAAACAGG
rnacentral:rRNA from 1 species